GAAGAGGACCGUUGGACAACGAGGGUCAUCGCCAGGUAUUAUUUUAACAAUUUUAAGUGUUUAAUCGUGUUUUUUUAUGUAUGUAGGAUGGUUCACAUUACCACCGAGGUGGGCCACUAGACAAUGAGGUUCGCUGUCGGAGCCACCAGGAAUCGUCGCCCAAAAUUGUCAAGAGGCCCUCACCACCAUCGAAGAGGACGCUGGACAUCGAGGAUCGCCGCUGGAGUAGCAAGAUCGUCAUAAUGGAUGUUUCAGGUACAUGUUUUAUACGUUUAAGUGUCUAACCAUGUUUUAUUUUAUGUAUAUAGGAUGGCCAACAUCACCACCGAUGAGGGCAACUGGUCAACGAGGAGGGCGCCAUCAUCGCCAAAGAGGGGCUACUGGACAACGUGGUUCACCGUCGGAUCCAACAGGAUUAUCGCCCAAAAUUGUCAAGAGGCCCCACCACCACCGAAGAGGAUGUUGGACAUCGAGGAUCGCCAUAGGAACCACCAGGAAUUGUUAAGAGGGUGUCACCACCAUCGCCAUCCCAAAAUUGCAAGGAGGGCUGGCAAUACCACCGAGGUUGAUUACUGGACGUCGGGGAUCGCCGCCGAAGUCGCCAAGUAUUGCCAGAUCACCACCGAGGAGGGCCACUAGACAACGAGGUUCGCUGUCGGAACCACCAGGAAUCGUCGCCCAAAAUUGUCAAGAGGGCCUCACCACCAUCGAAGAGGAUGCUGGACAUCGAGGAUCGCCGCUGGAGUAACAAGAUCGUCAUAAUGGAUGCUUCAGGUAUAUGAUUUAUACGUCUACGUGUUUAACCGUGUUUUAUUUUGUGUAUUUAGGAUGGCCAACAUCACCACCGAAGAGGGCAACUGGACAACGAAAAUUGCCGUCCGAGGCAUCAGGAUCGUCGUCUAAAAUUGUCAAGAGGACGCCAUCAUCGCCAAAGAGGGACCACUGGACAACGUGGUUCGCCGUGGGAUCCACCAGGAUUAUCGUCCAAAAUUAUCAAGAGGGCAGGACCACCAUCGAAGAGGAUGCUGGGCAUCGAGGAUCGCCGCUGUAGCAACGAGAUUGUCGGCAUAGAGGGCCCCACCAUCACCGAAGAGGGCGCUGGAGUACCGAUAUCGUCGCCGUGGAUGUUUCAGGUAUAUCGUUUACUCGUUUAAUUGUCGAUUCAUAUUUUUUUCAUGUAUUUAGGAGGGCUUCAUCUUCGCUGAAGAGGAUUACUAGACAACGAGGUUCAACGUCGGAGCUACUAGGAUUGUCGCCCAAUAUUGUCAAACGGGCGCAAUCUCGCCGAAGACGAUCACUGGCCAACGUGGUUGGCCGUAGAAGUCACCAGUAUCGUCGGCCAAAAUCGUCAAGUGGGCUGCACCACUAUCGAAGAGGAUGCCGGACAUUGAGGGUCGUCGCUGGAGGAACGACAUUGUCCGCAAUGGAGGUUUUAGAAGGGUUCCGUCGUCGCCGAAGAGGACUACUGGAUGUCGUGGAUCGUCGUUGGAGCAACGGGAAUCGCCGCCCAUCCCCGAGAUACACGCCCAUUAGGUCGAUGGAGGAAAAAAGAUGGUACGGUUGAGUAUUGCCUAUUGGCAUUUUUCUACUUUAUUCUGCGUUAUUCGUGUGUGGUACAAAUGUGUUGCUCUUGUCAUUUAUUCCUUCCCGUUAUUUUUCCUUAAACAUUACGGCGUAUGGUUUAACUUUCACUGAGGACGCAAAUUCACUACACCUGUAGACCACGGUUCGUUCACGGUUUGUUUGCUUUUUUGCACGGUUUGGGAUUAGUGGAUCGGGUAAUGUAGUUCUUCUUUCAUUGGUUUCAUGCCAAGUAUUUAGUUGGUGCAGGUUUACUAACACUUUGCUACUUCUAAAAUAAAAAGUAAAACAAAUUAAAUUUGUUUUAUGUCUGCAUACUCUUUUGAGUAUGGUUUCGUGACUUGUGUAAUGCAUGAAUAAAAUAAUAAUCGCGUGCGGUCUGGUUGCUAACCCUGAUUUAACAACCCGAUAUAAACGUGAUGGGGCAGUAACCCUUCCAACCCUACUCAUAGGCAAGAGUGAAUAACCCGCUGCACAACAAACCGGUUUGAGCGAAACGGGUUUGUGGGGCUCAUUGGCCCUACAGUUUUUCUCAACGGAUUUGGAGGUAUUGCAAUGUUGUCUCUUUUGAGUGUUCGUCUGCAAGCUAGAUAUGUUUUUUUUUUUUCCUACAAACUGACUAGAAUAACAAAGUUGUUGAAUUAACUGGAGAUGUGUAUGUAGGAAAGUGAGAUAUGUCGUCGUGGAUUAAAAAUUAAUGCUCAGCGAAAAAAGAUAUUACUAGGAAAUUAUUAGGAAUUGAAAUUCGUAAAAUAUUUCUUACCGAUUGGGUUUUAUUUAAUACACUACCCCACGGAAAAGGAAAUAAUACCGGAAAAUAUGAAUAAUCGAAGUAAAAUAUA